rnacentral:rRNA from 1 species
UACGUAGGGUGCAAGCGUUGUCCGGAAUUAUUGGGCGUAAAGAGCUCGUAGGCGGUUUGUCGCGUCUGCUGUGAAAACGCGAGGCUCAACCUCGCGACUGCAGUGGGUACGGGCAGACUAGAGUGCGGUAGGGGAGAUUGGAAUUCCUGGUGUAGCGGUGGAAUGCGCAGAUAUCAGGAGGAACACCGAUGGCGAAGGCAGAUCUCUGGGCCGUAACUGACGCUGAGGAGCGAAAGCGUGGGGAGCGAACAGG